AUGGAGGGCAAGGAGGAGGAUGUGCGGCUCGGGGCGAACAAGUACUCGGAGCGUCAGCCCAUCGGCACGGCGGCGGAGGGGUCCGAGGACAAGGACAACAAGGAGCCCCCGCCGGCGCCGCUGUUCGAGCCCGGUGAGCUCAAGUCCCGGUCCUUCUACCGCACCGGCAUCGCCGAGUUCAUGGCCACCUUCCUCUUCCUCUACCUCACCAUCCUCACCGUGAUGGGCUACAGCGGCGCCACCUCUAAGUGCACCACCAUCGGCAUCCAGGGCAUCGCCUGGUCCUUCGGCGGCAUGAUCUUCGCCCUCGUCUACUGCACUGCCGGCAUCUCCGGCGGGCACAUCAACCCGGUGGUGACCUUCGGGCUGUUCCUAGCAAGGAAGCUGUCGCUGACCAGGGCGGUGUUCUACAUCAUCAUCAUGUAG
rnacentral:rRNA from 1 species